UACGAAGGGGGCUAGCGUUGCUCGGAAUUACUGGGCGUAAAGCGCACGUAGGCGGUCUUUUAAGUCGGGGGUGAAAUCCUGGAGCUCAACUCCAGAACGGCCUUCGAUACUGGAAGACUUGAGUCCGGGAGAGGUGAGUGGAACUGCGAGUGUAGAGGUGAAAUUCGUAGAUAUCGGGAGGAACACCAGUGGCGAAGGCGGCGACCUGGGCCAAUAUUGACGCUGAGGUGCGAAAGCGUGGGGAGCAAACAGG
rnacentral:rRNA from 1 species